rnacentral:rRNA from 1 species
GACGAACGCUGGCGGCGUGCUUAACACAUGCAAGUCGAACGGACAGGCCCUGCUUUUGUGGGGUGCUCGAGUGGCGAACGGGUGAGUAACACGCGAGUAACCUGCCCUUGACUGUGGGAUAACUUCAGGAAACUGGGGCUAAUACCGGAUAGGAGCUCCUGCUGCACGGGGGGGGUUGGAGAGAUUCGGCGGUUGUGGAUGGACUCGCGGCUUAUCAGCCUGUUGGUGGGGUAGUGGCUUACAAAGGCUAUGACGGGUAGCCGGCCUGAGAGGGUGACCGGCCUCCUUGGGCCUGAGGUACGGCCCAGACUCCUACGGGAGGCAGCGGUGGGGAGUCUUGCACAAUGGGCGGACGCCUGUUGCAGCAACGCCGCGUGCGGAAUGACGGCUUUCUGGUUGUAAACCACUUUCGCCGGUGACGAAGCGUGAGUGACGGUAAUGGGUAAAGAAGCACCGGCUAACUACGUG